rnacentral:misc_RNA from 1 species
GAUGAAGAACGUAGCGAAAUGCGAUAAGUAAUGUGAAUUGCAGAAUUCAGUGAAUCAUCGAGUCUUUGAACGCACAUUGCGCCCCCUGGUAUUCCGGGGGGCAUGCCUGUCCGAGCGUCAUUGCUGCCCUCAAGCACGGCUUGUGUGUUGGGUCUCCGUCCUCCUCCCGGGGGACGGGCCCGAAAGGCAGCGGCGGCACCGCGUCCGGUCCUCGAGCGUAUGGGGCUUCGUCACCCGCUCUUGUAGGCCCGGCCGGCGCUUGCCGACACAUCAAUCUUUUUUCCAGGUUGACCUCGGAUCAGGUAGGGAUACCCGCUGAACUUAAGCAUAUCAAUAAGCGGAGGA